GUUCGAAGUCGUCCAUCGUAUAAUUACGAUUAUGGCUACCCUCAUUCCUACGGUCGCUCCUACAACUACCCCGUGAAAGGUCACAAAACCAAGAAACAAGU